AUGCCUUUAUUGCUUGAUUGAUCCAUGCAAAUGUACUUUCCUGGACAUAUAUUCAUGUCACAUGUGCCUUGCAUGACCUUGAUCACAGUUCUUGAGAUUCUUGGCUUGUAUAAGAACAACCUUCUGAACUAGGUUGCUUCUGAACAACCUUCUGAACUAGGUUGCUUCUGAACUGGUUGCUUCUGAACUGGUUGCUUCUGAACAACCUUCUGAACUAGGUUGCUUCUGAACAACCUUCUGAACUAGGUUGCUUCUGAACUGGUUGCUUCUGAACAACCUUCUGAACUGGGUUCUGAACAACCUUCUGAACUGGGUUGCUUCUGAACAGGGUUGCUUCUGAACAAGGUUGCUUCUGAACAGGGUUGCUUCUGAGCAAGGUUGCUUCUGAACAGGGUUGCUUCUGAGCUCUCAUCAGAACGUUCUGAUCAACUUUCUGAUCAACAUUCUGAACUAACUUUCUGAACUUUAGAAUUAGUUCAUGGAUUCAAUGUCCUUUGAUUUUAUGCAUCUUGGUAUGAUUCAAACCUUGUUCCUGUCUUAGUGAAAACACUCAAGAGCACAAGUUAAAUACCAAGGAAUUAAUCAAAGUCCAUUAAUUCUUUAAUCAUAUUUGUUUAUUAUCUUUAAAAUUAAUUAGGGAUUUUGCCUCAACAAUCUCCCCCUUUUUGAAGAUGAUAAACUUAUGAUUUAGGAUUAAGGAUUUUGAUUAUAUAACAGAGCUAAAAAAUUUAUUUUAAUGCUCCCCCUCAUUUUUAUAAUCCAUUAUGCAGAGUUUUUAAGAACUUUAAAAAGCUCCCCCUCAAUUUCAUAAUCUUUUGCAUAAAGUAAAAAUAUGCAAGACUGAACCAAAUUCAAUAUUCAUUCAUUUGAUAUAACAUGAAGUACAUUACAUGAAAAGAUGGUUCAAAAACAAAAAAGAAAAUCAAAGUGCAUGUGAUCAAGAAAAGCAAAAGAUGGAAUUUAUAAAUUCCAAUAUCAAUUGAUCACCUAGACCUACUUAGGGCCUAUAACUAAAAAAAACUUAAAGACUUUGAAUCCUAAAGCUUCUCCCCCUUUUGUCAUCUGCAAAAAGGAUAGGGAGGAUUUUUGAAAAGAUUCAUGGAGUGGAGUCUCCAGAAUCAGAAGAGGGUUCUGCUUCAAAGAUGGAGGGGUCAUCAAAUACUGGAGGUGGAAUGGCCAAACCAGGAGCAUGGACUUUGACAGUCCAGUCAGCCAGCACACAAGCAAUUUUGUGGGUCUUGGUGGAGACUCUAAGUGCCCUUGAGGCUAUCUUCUCUGCUCUUGAAGGCUUAGCAGGUUCAGCAGGACCAGAGGCUACAGCUUGCACUCUGUUUGCAGACACAAAGGUGUUGAGAGAGUCAAAUAAAGCAGCCAUGUUUGGAAGUUUGCUUCUUGUGGUGGUCUUCAUUUGUGGUGGUGGUGGAGUGGAUGAAGGAAUGAAAGGUGGAGUAGGAAGGUCAGAGACCAAGAAGUUGGUAGCACCUGCAACAGAAUCCAUGGAGGAGGAUGAUGGGUUAACAUUUUGACCAUUUUGGGCCAUGAGCUGUACCUCCUCAGAGGGCAGAGAUCCUGAUGCCAAAGGCAUGGGAUCAACUGACAGCUGGCCAUCUGGAGGAAGUUCAUUUGAGGCAUGCUGAUCAUCAAGCUCUUGAUUGUCUUGAUCAGCCAUGACAUGAAUACCUUCAUCAUUCUGGGCUUCAGUUACUGCAACAUUCUGACCGGCAGAAGUUUCAACCUUCUGAACAUUCUGAACAGCAGGAAUUUCAACAUUCUGACCUUCUGGAGCUUGCUGAGUUGUUUCUUGUCCAUCUUGAAACAACUCACUAUUGAAGUCAAUGUUGAUAUCUUCAAUAUUGAGAUCAAAACCAGUUGAGAACUCCACAUCUUGAGCUUCUUCUUCAAUGUUCAUAUUUGAAGCUAAGAGCUCAGCCACUUCCUGAGUUUCUCCAUCAACAAUCUCCUUUGCAAGCUUGGAGACUUCAGAGAACAAAUUUUCUGCUGGUGGAGAGGGAGUUUUGGUAUCUGUAAUCUCUUCAACCCUUCUUUUCUUCACAGCUUUCUGAACAUUCUGAUCAGAAUUUCUUUUACCAGAUCCAGAGGGUCCAGAAGUUUUGGAGGCUGGCAUGUUGGAUGAAGUAAUAUGGAGUUGACCUAAGGUCUUGGAAGAAAAGGUCAUAAAAUCCAGCUUGCGUUUCUCUCCUUCAAGGGGCACUUUUGCCUUUUGAAAAAUGGAAGUGAGAUGCAUUCCAUAGGGUAGUCCAGCAGAUGUUUGUUUUAUGGCUAGACAUGAAUCAAUCAUGUGUUGAAUAAUGAUAAAACACAGAUUUAACUUAAUCUUUUUCAUGAGAUGGUAGAUGAAACAAAGAUCUAUGUCAGAGACAAGUUCAAAAGAUCCACAUCUAGGUAAAAGACAAUGCCUAAUCAUGUUGUGAAGAAUUUUGGGAGUAUCUUCCAGGUUUGUGGAGUUAAAGGUGUGAUUUUCUUUGGUGUAUUUAACUAUGAGUUUGUUACGGUUAACUCUAGACUCAUCAAACCAGAAGCUAGAGUAUAGCUGAUUACCUUCAUUUGGAAUUUUGAAUGCUUCAGAGACAAAUUCCUGAGUCAUCUUGAUCUUUACACCUUUGACUGAUGAUAUGAGAAACUUCUCAUUUCCAUUCUUCUUUUCCUGAACUGAUAGGUUGGUGUAGAACUCUCUGACCAAGUCUUCAUAGGUGUGUUCUUGAAGAGUUAUGAAGUUGGUCCAUCCUUGAGGUUCAGUGAACUCUUUCAUAUUCCAUGCCUUGGUUUCCAGACUUUCAAGGUUGAAAUACUUGGUUCUACACAUUGGUCUGAGAGCAAUCUUUUCUGCCCUUGAAGCUUUUAAGGUAGCAGCAAGUUUGGUAAUAUCUUUACCUUUCCCAUGCUUCUUAGAAGAGCCUUUCUCUUCUUCUUUUUCAGCCUUUUCUUCAGAUUCUUCUCUUCACUUGCUUCUUCAUCUUCAGAGGUCUUUUCCUCAGAUAAGGGCAUAGCUUCAGCAGCAAUCUCCUUCCUCCUUUGAAGUAUUAUCUUUGUAAGUUCCUUAUCCCUUUUUGAGGAAGCUUUUACUGAUUUCAUUGCGUCAGAAAGAGUUUGUUCAGAGUCUUCAUCCUCUUCUUCUGGAUCUUCCUCUGUUUCAUCCUCAGAGUCUUCAUCAUCUUCUUUUUCUUCGUCAGAAUCUAGAUUCACGUGAGAUACCUUUGGUUUCUUCAAAGGUUUCUUCAUCCUUGUUGAUCGUCUGGUAGGUAUUGGUCUGGGUUUGAUGAUGGGUUUCUUAGAGGAUCUGGUUUUGGAAGAUUUGGGAUUUUCAGAAGCAGGAAUGAUUACGUCCUGAAGAAUGGUGCGUACAGGGGUUUCACUCAAAAGUUGUUGAUCAGAGGUUUGAUCAGCAGCGGUGUUGGAUGGUGGUGGUUGAAAAUGUUCUUCGGAAAGUCUUGGGGUAGUUUUGGUUCUAGCCAUUUUUUCAGAAAAUGAAGAACAGAGCAGUUUGAAUUUUUGGGAAAUGAGAUGGAAGUGAAAUAAUCAGAGUUGGUAACUGACUAUAUAGACAAAACGUGCAAGAGAAAAAGAAUAGUAGUGAUAUGAUGACAGUUAGCAUUGGGAAGGAUGAAAAACUGUCAAAAAGCAACGCCUAGGAGAGAGAAAGGAAAAAGUAGCCGUUUGGGAAGAUGAAUGGAUUUUGGAUGAUUUGAUGGUUAAGCCAUUACAUGGUGGUUAAACCUUAAACAUGACUUCUUAUAACCAAGCAUUAAAUGCUUAAGAUUAUGGAUGGAUUUUUUGAACAAGUCAAAACAAGAUCUCACGCCUGAGAUUGUUUGACCCAGAAUUUGGGUUCAGAACAAAAAAUAAGUUUCAAGAACGUCAUGAAUGGAUAAACUCAGAUGAACAUACUUGAUUGUUCUGAUCGUAUGAAUAUUGCAAUGAACAUUCUGAUCAUUUGAACAUUCUGACCUGAUGAACGUUCUGAACUCAGGAACAUUCUGAUGAGAGUGAGAUAAAGAUGGAUCUAUCUGAUUUGUAUCAGAUGACAUCAAGGGGUUUAGUUUAAGGCCCUUAGUGAUCAGUAAUCAAUCUUUAUUAGGAUUUUUCAUGAUUAACAAUUUUUCUUUAAGAAAAUUGAAUCUAUCCUCAACAAGGGGUUUUGUGAAAAUGUCAGCCAAUUGAUUUUCAGUAUCAACAAAGCUUAAUGCAAUAUUCUUUUUCUGAACAUGGUCUCUAAUGAAAUGAUGUUUUAUUUCAAUAUGUUUAGACCUAGAAUGCUGAAUAGGAUUCUUAGAAAGAUUAAUUGCACUUGUAUUGUCACAAUAAAUAGGAACACUUGUGUACCUUAGAGAGUAAUCUUCCAGCUGAUUUCUUACCCAUAAAAUUUGAGAGCAGCAACUAGCUGCAGAUACAUACUCAGCUUCAGUUGUGGAGAGUGCAAUAGUGUUUUGUUUUCUGCAAGACCAUCCAAUCAAUGCUUGUCCUAAGAAUUGACAGGAUCCACUUGUGCUCUUCCUCUCAACUUUGUCUCCAGCAUAAUCAGCAUCACAAUAGGCUACAAGAUCAAAACUAGAACCUUUUCUAUACCAAAGGCCAAGAUCAGUAGUACCUACUAGAUAUCUAAAGAUUCUUUUAACUGCAGUUAAGUGAGAUUCUUUUGCACAUGUUUGAAAUCUAGCACAUAAUCCUACUGCAAACACUAUAUCAGGUCUGCUAGCAGUCAAAUAUAAUAAUGAACCUAUCAUGCCUCUAUAUUCUUUUUCAGAAAUAGAUUUUCCACUCUCAUCCUUAUCUAAACUUGAAGAUGGAUGCAUAGGGGUGCUCAUGAUUUUUGCCUCAUUCAUUUUAUAUUUCUUAAGAAUAUCUUUGACAUACUUUUCUUGACUUAUGAAAAUUCCAUUUGAAUGUUGUUUGAUUUGUAAACCAAGGAAAAAACCAAGUUCACCCAUCAUGCUCAUCUCAAAUUCACUUUGCAUAAGGUUGGAAAAUUCUUCACACAUUUUUAUUUUAGUAGCACCAAAAAUGAUGUCAUCCACAUAUACUUGAACAAUAAGCAAGUCAGUAUUAUGUGUUUUUCUAAAAAGUGUGGUAUCAAUUUUUCCUCUUGAAAAACCAUUUUCAAUUAAAAAUGUACUAAGUCUGUCAUACCAAGCUCUAGGAGCUUGUUUAAGACCAUAAAGAGCUUUUGUUAAUUUGAAAACAUGAUUUGGUUUUUCUUUGUUUAUGAAUCCAGGUGGUUGACUUACAUAAACUUCUUCAUUUAGAAAACCAUUUAAAAAUGCACUUUUCACAUCCAUUUGAAAAAGUUUAAUGCUUUUAUGUGCAGCAUAAGCAAGAAGAAUUCUGAUGGCUUCUAACCUUGCAACUGGUGCAAAGGUCUCAUCAUAGUCAAUACCUUCUUGUUGGUUGUAACCUUGAGCAACUAACCUUGCUUUGUUUCUGACAACUUUACCUUCUUCAUCAAGCUUGUUUCUAAAAACCCAUCUUGUUCCAAUGAUGGUUUUAUCUUGAUUAUUUGGAACCAAGUUCCAAACUUUGUUUCUUUCAAACUGAGAAAGUUCUUCCUUCAUGGCCUUAAUCCAAGAGUCAUCAAUAAUGGCUUCAUUGAUUGACUUGGGUUCCAUUUGAGAAAUCAUUGCCAUGUUGUUAUCUUGAAAGGACAAUCUGGUUCUUACACCAUCAGUUGUGCUUCCAAUGAUUUGAUCAGUAGGAUGAUCCCCUACCAUUCUCCAGCUUCUAGGUGGACUUUGAAAAGAUUGAUCCUGAGCAUUCUGAUCAUCUUCUUUCUCUACUGUGUUCUCAGUAUUUUGAACUGGAACAUUCUGAAGUGUUGGUACUUCAGUGUCUUCAUUCUCUUUAGGUUUAGAAUGUUCAUCAUAUUCAUCAAAUAUGAUAUGCAUACUAAUUUCAACUGUCUGGGUUUUUAGAUUGUACACUCUAUAACCUUUAGAAGUUGUAGAGUAUCCUAAAAAGAUAGCUUUAUCUGAUUUAGGAUCAAACUUACCCAAUUUUUCUUUAUUGUUCAGUAUGUAACAAUAGCAGCCGAAAAUGUGAAAGUAAGAUAUGCUAGGUUUAAUAUUUUUCCAGAGUUCAUAUGGGGUUUUGUUAAGAACCUUUCUUAUAGAAACUCUAUUCAAAAUGUAACAAGAUGUGUUAAUGGCUUCUGCCCAAAAGUAAUUUUCAACAUUUGAUUCAUUUAACAUUGUUCUUGCCAUUUCUUGCAAGGUUCUAUUUUUUCUUUCAACAACUCCAUUUUGUUGUGGAGUUCUUGCACAAGAAAAAUUAUGUUUAAUACCAUUUUCAUCAAAGAAUGUUUUGAAGGAUGCAUUUUCAAAUUCUCCUCCAUGAUCACUCCUAACUGUGAUGAUAUUAUAACCUUUUUCAUUUUGAACUCUUUUGCAAAAGUUUUGAAAUGCUUCAAAAGAUUCAUCUUUAUGUUUUAAAAAUAGCACCCAUGUAAAUCUGGAGAAAUCAUCAACAAUAACAAAUCCAUAUCUUUUGCCAGUUAGACUUGCAGUUUGAACAGGACCAAACAGAUCAAUGUGAAGAAGCUCUAAAGGUUUCUGAGUUGAGAUAAACUCAAUAGUUUUAAAACUACUUUUUACUUGUUUACCUUUAACACAUGCUUCACAGAUUCUGUCCUUUUCAAAGCUAAUCUUAGGCAAACCUCUAACUAGAUCAAGUUGAGAAAGUUUAGCAAUGGUUUUCAUGCUUAUAUGACCAGCCCUUUUGUGCCAGAUCCAUUUGUCUUUUUCAAGAGACAUAAAACAAGAUUCAGCAGGCAUAUCAUUUAGUUCUAAAACAUAUAAGUUCUUUCUUCUUGAACCAGAGAAAAACAAUUUGUUAGAGGAGGUUUGUCUGACUUCACAUAUAUUAGGUUUAAAGAUAACUUCAAAUCCACUAUCACACAAUUGACUUAUGCUAAGUAGAUUAUGUUUUAAACCUUCCACAUACUGAACAUUUUCUAUUCUAGCAGAGUUAAGAUUACCUAUAGUACCUUUACCUCUGAUUUUACCUUUGUCAUUGUUUCCAAAUGUCACUAGUCCUCCAUCCUUCUUUUCAAAAGUUAGAAAACAAUCCCUGUCACCUGUCAUGUGCCUAGAACAACCACUAUCCAGGUACCAUGGUUUUGUUCUUGCACCCUGAGGCAAGACCUACAUUUGACAAGAUAAAAAUUUUAGGUACCCAUGUAAUGUUGGGUCCUUGAAGGUUAGUUCUUCUAAGAGAUCUUUUCUGAAAGUAACAUUCUGUCUUUUAUGAUCAGAUUUGUUACAGUAGAAACAUGUCUUCUUAGCCUUUUCAGCCUUUUGUGAACUUUCUGAUCUAUUGAGAUGAGAACGUUCUGAACUAAGAUUUAAAUUAUUUUGUUUGAUAAAUUUUUUCUUAACAUGACAUACUGAUUCAUUAUGUCCAUACUUAUCACAAAAACAACAUUUAACUCUUAUUUUAGCUUUAGGUACAAAACUUCCAAUAAUUUUGCUUGGAUCCUUAAAGCCUAAGCCAGAUUUCUUAGUACUUUUAUUUUGAGAUCCUACUAUGUUUUGAAAAGUUUCUGUAGAUUUUAUAAACCCUGUCAGAUCCUUUUUCAAUGUUUCAACUUCCUUUUUCAAAAGUAUGUUUUCCUUUUGUACUUCAGAAGGUACAGACAUAAUGCCUUUUUGUUUUCUGUUUAUCUCUCUUUGUUUUUCUGACAUGUCAAAAUGAGAAUCUUGCAGAAUUUUUAUGGUCUUUCUGGACUCAUCAUACUUGUUCUGAAGUAUUUCUUUUUCUUCUUUUAUCUCAGAAAGUUCUUUGAUUAAAGAGUGACAUCUAUUAGUUAAGAAGUUUGAAUCAUAUAAGAGACUAUCAAUUUUGUUUUCAAGAUCUUUAUAUAAAGAAUCAGUUUUAUAGAUAAUUACCUCUUCCUCAUCAUCUGACUGAGCCAUCAGUCCCAUGUCUGUAUCUGCAUCUUCUUGAGAAUCUGAUUCUUCCAUGUCAUCCCAUGUGAUCAUUGCUUUCUUCUUGAAGGGAGGUUUUCUCUGAACCUUUUUGAUGUCAGGACAUUCAUUUUUGAAAUGUCCAGUUUUGUUGCAUCCAUAGCAAGUGACUUGACUUUUGUCAGCUUCAGUUUUGAUGCUGAUGUUGGUCUUUGGAAACUUCUUUCUGAUCUGAUUUCUUCUCAACAUCAUCCUUUGAAUUCUUUUAGAGAUUAGUGCAAGUUCAUCUUCAGCUUCUUCUUCAUGAACUUCUUCUAAUUCUUGUGGUUCUUGCACAUCUUCAUCAUCAACUGAUGAGGUUUGCUGAGAUGCUUUCAAGGCAAGUGUUCUUACCUUCUUCACUGGUUUGUCUCCUUGAAGUACAACUUCAUGAGCUCUUAGUGAACCAAUGAGAUCUUCCAGGUUCAUAGAUUUUAAAUCUUUGGCCUGAGUGAUUGCAGUGACCAUAGGUCUCCACAUACUUGGAAGACAUCUCAGAAUUUUUCUAAUUCUAUCAUGAGUGGAAUAUGCCUUUCCAAGAGAUCUCAUUUCAUUUACUAUUGUAGUAAAUCUUGCAUACAUCUCAUCAAUGGUUUCAUUUUCACUCAUUUCAAAGACUUCAAAUUUUCUGACUCCAAUGUCAAUUCUAGUUUCUUUGACAUGAGAAGUACCCUCAUGAUGUAUUUUCAGAGUAUCCCAUACUCCUUUAGCAUUUGUACAUUCAUCAACUCUUUCACUUUCUUCCAUGGUUAGUGCACAUGAUAGAAAGAGUCUAGCUUUAGAGUUUAGUAAUACCUGAGCUUUUUCAUCUGUUGACCAUGCACUUUUUGCUUUGACAGCUCCUUCUUUGUUUGUUGGAACAAAGUCUCCAUUUGUGAUGACUGCCCACAUAUCAUUGUCUUGAGAUCUGAGAAAGAGUUCCAUCUUGCCUUUCCAGAAAUAGUAGUUUGAUCCAUCAAAGAGUGGUGGUCUAUUUGAAGAUCCUCCUUCAGCUAUGUACUUGACUUUAGACAUACUUCCUGAAUCUUUUCUCUAACACUUGUUUAAGUGUUCAAACCCUUAGAACCAGGCUCUGAUACCAAUUGAAGUAGAUAAAAUAGUCACAAGGAAGGGGGGGUUUGAAUUGUGACCCUUUAAAAAUUAUCCUGAAACUUAAAAGUGAUUCUCAAGUUGUUUACUUGGAAUUAUGUUAACUUUCUGACUUCAGAAUGUUCUGAAGUUCAUAAACAAAAUUGCUUAAUAAAGUAUAAGUGUAAGUGUGUGUUGUGUAUACUGUAAAUAAAAAGGUAUAGAGAAGAAAGAAAGAACACACAAAGAGUUAUAGUGGUUCACCCAAUGUGGGCUAGUCCACUCCCCACAAUCCUGUGAGAGUUUCCACUAAGAUGCUUGAGAUAACCUCUCAAGUCCUGCACCUUACAAUCUUGUUCACCUGAACAAUUACACUCCUGUAUUCUCUAAGCCUCAGCAGGCUUGCACCUUCUUGCUAAGUUAACCACUUAGACUUUUACAACCUUUGCUCAACCUAACACUUUAGGACCUCUAAAAGCUAGAUGAGACUUUGUUACAAUUUGUAUGGAAGUUGGGUGUUUGUAAAACAAACAAUGAAAGAAGAAGAAGAGGUUAUCCUACAGAUAACAAGAGUAUUGAUUUGCACUAAGUUGAUGAAAGACUUAGAGAUUGAUCAAUUUCAGUUUGCAAAAGCUUCAAACAAAAUCAAAGUUGUUUUCUUGUAUGCUUUGCAAUGGUGCAAGUUUUGCUAAGGCCAAGCCCUCUAUUUAUAGAGUCCUUGGGCUCAUAUAGCCGUUGUAGGGUGUCCAAUGGUGUUAUGCCAUGUGUCCUGGGUCCCACAAGCUUUAACUUGAAAUUCUGGGCAAACAUUCUGAUCUCUGAUUAACAUCAGAAUGUUGUUGUGUUCAUGAUGAUCUUCAUCUGGGUUCAUCAUGUAUGAAUGAACACAUGAAGUUCUGGGCUAUGCAUAUGCUUUUCAUAUGAAUUUCUGGACAAUAACCAAUGUAUGGACUUUUCUUCAUACAUCAGAAUGUUCCUUUCCCAGAUUUUGUCUUGGAACCGGUGCAGGAGGAUUUAGUGGGAUUCUGCAUCUUCAUGCCCAUGCUUUGAGAGAUUGUGUUGUCCUUGAUCAGUACCAACUCUCAGACGUGUCUAUCUCUUGUUGGAGAUGACAGAUUUGCUUUGCUUUUGCUUUUUGCUUUUCACCUACUAUACUGUUCAUAAAGUAAGCAUGAGCUGAGCUUGAACAUUCUGAUCAUCAGAAUGUUCCAUCUGUUUCACUUAGGAUGAUUUGUAAGACUAUCAUUUGAUGUAAUCAAAUCCUAAUAGUGAAACAAUAAUGAAGAGCAGUGAUGAUAACAUCUAGGAUGAUAUUCCUUUGUGAAAUAUUCCUAGUACAUCAAUGUUCAUAGUCUUAAAUGAACAUUGAAUGCCUUCUUUGACAUAACUCUUGUAUAUGCCUUUAUUGCUUGAUUGAUCCAUGCAAAUGUACUUUCCUGGACAUAUAUUCAUGUCACAUGUGCCUUGCAUGACCUUGAUCACAGUUCUUGAGAUUCUUGGCUUGUAUAAGAACAACCUUCUGAACUAGGUUGCUUCUGAACAACCUUCUGAACUAGGUUGCUUCUGAACUGGUUGCUUCUGAACUGGUUGCUUCUGAACAACCUUCUGAACUAGGUUGCUUCUGAACAACCUUCUGAACUAGGUUGCUUCUGAACUGGUUGCUUCUGAACAACCUUCUGAACUGGGUUCUGAACAACCUUCUGAACUGGGUUGCUUCUGAACAGGGUUGCUUCUGAACAAGGUUGCUUCUGAACAGGGUUGCUUCUGAGCAAGGUUGCUUCUGAACAGGGUUGCUUCUGAGCUCUCAUCAGAACGUUCUGAUCAACUUUCUGAUCAACAUUCUGAAC
rnacentral:lncRNA from 1 species